ensembl:lncRNA
GAAGAACAAACGCUGGGGGGACGGCCUGCAGCAGUUUCUGGAGAUGAAACACCAGCUGGCAACCACUCCUUUGUCCAAUGUGACUAAUUACCUUUCAAACUUCCAUUACUUUCAAAAGUACCUGAAAGGGAAUGGGAUAUUUGGUGUGUCUGGGACAUUGGGGGGUGAUGCCGACAAAGAUUUCCUUGCAAGGCAUUACGAAACAGACAGCUACAUAAUACCAGCUCAUCGCCAUAAGAAGGUUGUUGAGCUUCCAGCAAUUCAGGUCAAUGGGCAAGCCCAGUGGAUGGAGAUCCUCUGUAAGACAGCAAUGAGGGUGGCAGAAAGUGGUCAGGUUGUCUUGGUCAUGUGAAGAUGUCAAGACUGCAAACAAGCUUCUGAAGAAAAUAGAGAGCGAGAAUCCACAUCCCCCCAUCACAUUAUACACAAUCAGUGAGAAACACAACAUUGAGAGAACCAAAUUCAGAGGGGGACAUGUAAUCAUAGCCACAAAUCUAGGAGGUCGUGGAACUGAUAUCAAGGUUGAUCAGGAUGUCAACAUACGUGGUGGCCUCUUCGUCCUCCUGACACAUUACCCUGGCAGUCGCAGAGUGGAGAAACAGGUGUUUGGAAGAACUGGUCGGAAGGGAAACCCGGGCAUGGCCCAGAUGAUCCUCUGUGGGGAUAACCUUGCCCCAGCAUACCAGGGCCAGCCUGUGGAGAUCAUGAGACAAUUGAGAGAGGAGUACGAAGUCCAACGCAUCAAAGAUAUGGAGACAGAUGAGCUUCUCGAAAUAAAAAUGAAAGAGGAUCUGUUUGGCACGUUUUGUGAAUUUCUUGACAAGUUUCAUGGCAACUUCUCAAAACAGGAGAAAGAUGACCUGUCAGGAAUGGGGCCGAAUGAUGUCCCUGAGUGUUUUAAAGAAAAAGGCUCUAAGUUUGAUUACCAGCCUGCCCUCAAUGCUUUGAAAGAAACAUGGUCAUUGUGGCUUACCCUUCACGAGGAGCACAUCCGUCAGCACGAAGAUAUCAGUGUUCUUAAAGCAGACCUUCUUGAGCAUAUCACAAAUAGGGGCAACAUGCUGCUGAAUGGAAAAAGUCAAAACUUCUAUGACCACAUUAAGCAGGCUAUCGGCAGAACAGACUUGCACCUCCGCAACAAAAGUAAGUGUGACUAUGAAGCAAAGUCCUACUGGAAAGAUGUUGAAGAAUGUGACCCUUUUUACAGUGCCGUGGCAAUGUACAACCAAGCUUUCAUCACCAUAAACAUGGGAAAAGAUGGCUACAAAACAGAGGCACGGAAAUUACUGGAAAGGGCAAAGACAUCUGUGGAUGUUUACUUGUCAGAAACCACAAAUACCAUGGUUUCUUUUCAGAUUGCCACAAGAGGCAACUUUGAACCACAUCAUGAAGGAGAAUGCAACUUUCUAAAGCAAAUAGAUUCCAGGAUGAGCAUUCACCAAGCUUGGAUACGUAACAUUGACCUUGCAGUAAAUAAACUUAAAGAGCUUGAGGGUGAAGGCACAGCCAUAACAGAGGUAUCCUCAGUGUACAGCCUCUCAGAAAAUCAAGACUACAUCACAGGAAAUGAACUCACGGCCUUGUAUGACAAUGGCCUGAGCAUUGUGUUUGAGGUGAAAAAGAAGCCAGAGUUCAGCUUUGACGCUUUGAUCUGUUUCUUCAUCGGUAUGUGUCAGGUCAUCCUUGGAGUUCUGGUUUGUGCCCUGUCGUUUGGCUCUGCAACCCAGAUUGGCUUAAGUAUCAUCUCUGAAGGAGUCUCUGACAUGAUUGAAGGGAUAUCUGGCAUGAUAUCAGGCACAUUCGAUUGGGUACAAUGGGCCAUCUCCAAAAGCAUCAGCAUUGGGAUGUCUCUGCUCUCCGCAGGGUUCAACGCCAUUAAAAAAGUUGUCACCACAGCAUAUAAAGUCCUCAAUGGUACUUUGAAACUCUCAUCUGUUGCAAAGGAAAUCAUUGGCACAGGAAAACAUGUUUUCAAGUCCACACAGAAAGCAGCAAAGUAUGCAAUUAAGACAGCAACGAAGAAACUGGCAUCCCCUACAAACAUGAAGAUGGCUCUAAAACACGCAACCAAGUACGCACUUCAGGAGGUAGGGAAGCAGGGUGUAAUCACAGGAAUAAACUAUGCCAUUGAUGCUGGAAUUGGGGCCAUCUUUAAAACAAUUUUAGAAAAAGCUUUCAAAGACAUGGUCAAUUCAACAGUCAAAAAGAAUGCCGAACUAGAUCUUAGUCUCACUGAAUACAUUAGCUCUGCAGUACCUAAAGGAGCUUUGCAGAACCGCAGCAACUAUAAGAUUGACUCAAAGCUUGAACAACAAACAAAAGAUUUAGUUCAAGUUAUGACAAAAGAACUUAUUCCUGGCCUCAUGACUGAUGCCACCACAUCCCAAGUCAGUGAUGUUAUCAGCAGACUCUCUGAGGUGUGCAAUAAUGCAACUGACCUUGUGGCAAAAAGUGGAAAACAUUUGAUUGCAAAAGGAGUCAAAAUAAGUGUAGAAAUAGCUAAACACACCACAAUCUUGGUCCAAAUGAUUCGGUCUAUUCCUACAGAACAUGUUAUCAAUGACAUAUUUGUCCUCAAAUUAAAAAAAGAAAUUGAAGAGCAGCAAAGAUAUGUGGGGCAGUAUGAUCAAGAUGGCAGACAUGAUUUACCAGAUGUGAUUCGCCUAAAGGAUGAGCUCCUAAGCUCCAUUUCGGAAAGUGUCUCCGAAGCGUUCAUAGAUGCUUGUGCUGGUCAUAUGUCCUCUUUUGUGACGGGAACAUUCAAGAAGAAGCUCAAUGGAGUUACUGGAAAGGUUGUUGACAAUGUACUUGGCAGACACAAAACUGAGGCCUUUUUCCAGGACCGGCAGCAUAAACAUGAUAUGAAGUCAGCCAGUCAGAAGGCUGGGAAAGCUCUGUCAGAGACUGAAACAAAAGAACUUCUGGACUAUGCAGAGAAGAUUGGUGAUGUUAAUCGACCAGCCUCGGCCCUGGACAUUUAUGUCCUCACAAACAGUGACCUGCUCCAUGGUAAAGGCAUCCAGUUCAAAGUGGUGGAUCAAGAUGGGAAAACGCUCUCAGAGGAGUCCUACCCGGGAACGAACAGCUCAGCCGGCCAAAUCACUCUACGGCUGACCAAAGAGCCUGAGAAAACACACAGUGAGAAAGGAAUCCUCUCUAAAGCAAAAGACAGAAUCCAAGGAGUGGAAAGUCCAUACAGUGGUCACUUUGACAUCAUCCAAGAUGGGAAAGUAAUCCCUGUGCGCUCAGAGAACAAGAACUGCCUGUACCAUGCCCUAGCACAGGCAACAUCUAACAGGUCUGAGGAUGAGAUCACGAGUCAAGCUGUGAAUCUACGAAACAAUGUUAAAGACCAGAUUAAAGGGAGCCUUCAGGCUUAUAGUGAAAUGGUUCAAACCCAGAAGGCCUAUGAUGCACUCGAGAAAAAUCAUGGAAAAUAUGCUAUAGUUGGAGGGGCCAGGAAUAGAAAACGGACGAAUGAUGGGGAAUAUGAACAUGAUAUCAGGCCCAUGAAGAAUUGUCCUUAUAGUUCCUCAGGGAUAAAUGAGUAUGACAUAGCCUUUACGUACCACCUUGGAUUAGUUGGUCCUAACAAAAGCGUCAAAAACACCAAACUUUUCUCUGACAACAUGGGGGAAAGAGGCAUUGUGGAGGCAGACCAUAUCCCACCAAAGAAUUCCCUGAAGCUGGCCAGAGACCAAAAAUCUGAGAUGAAAAAUCUUCAACAGAAGAAUCCGAAGCUUUAUGAUAUGAUAAACAGCAUUGAAUCAGAUCAAAAUGGAGGGAACCUGCUCACAAUGCGGGUUCUCAAACAGCAUCACAGGAAUGCUCUAACCACUGGAAGGAGUAAGACAUCUGUCAUCUGCAGGAAGCUGCUGGCGGAUACACUUGCAAGCGGAGAUGUGGAGAAAUUACUGAAGUUAUCUUUCAUCAUGGCUCAUCCAAUUGCUUCCGACCAGCUCAGAGACAAAGCAGGAAAGCCCAAUAAACUUACCCUGGGAUCCAUUGAUUUAUCUCCUGAAGGAACGGUGUUCUACUAUAAAGCUGGCUUCAAUCAGAUGCUGAAUCACCAUAGUAAAGAGGGGAUCAUCGACGAGAAUCAGCAGGCGAGGCUGAAGUCCUGGGUGUCCGAUAAGAAGUACAUGGACCCGGACACCCCAGAGUACAACAACAUCCUUGCAGCCAUCCAGUAACACAACCUCCACUGGAGACAUGUUAGUAAAGGGAUAAAAUCAUACUUUUAUAUUCAGCAUAAGAAUAUCAUGAAUUCAGUAUAAUCAUAAGGUGAAUCAUUUCUUGUUGAACCUUAGGUGAAUGACAAUUUGACCUUUCUACUGCUGCAUAAUUACUAUACUUUUUUUGUUUGUGCUUCCACAAGGUAGCCUAUGGCUUUUCAAAAUAGAUACAGUAACUUAUGUGCAAGGUGCAUGAGAUGUAAGCUUGCUAAAACAACUAUAGGUUCUUUACAGUAAACUGUAAAUUGACUUUUGAUUUUGUUUCAUUCAGUACUGUAUGCUAUACUGGGUGCCAAAGUUCAUUUCUCAAUGUCAUAAUAUUUACUGAUGUCAUAAUAUUUAAUGUUUGUAGUUUCUUAGUGUUGAAUAAUAUAGCCUACUUUCCAUUUUAGUGUAAUGAUCAUGAUAACCUUUUAAAAUCAAAUCAGAAUGUAUUUGUCGCAUGUGCAGAAUACAGUGAAAUGCUUACCCACAAGCCCUUAACCAACAAUGCAGUUUUAAGAAAAAAGAAAGAAAGAAAGAAAUAUUACAAAUAAUUAAGGAGCAAUAAUAAAAUAACAGUAGCGAGACUAUGUAUUUUAUGCUCAUCAUCAGUGGUUUCACAGUCAAAUCAUGGUCUCAUUGGCAGUGUUUAUCAUGUAUUGGAUUUCUUUACUAUUGGAUUAUGGAUGAUUUUAUAUUUACUCAAUCCAAGGUGGUGUUUUAAGCCAUUUGAAUAAAUGUUUGCAUUCUCAAAAAUAUUAUCUGUAUUUGAAACUAUUGAUAAUAAACUGAUUUAAUUUGCAAGACUACUAGCAAUGUGCA